GACGAACGCUGGCGGCGUGCCUAAUACAUGCAAGUCGAACGCAUUUUCUUUCACCGUAGCUUGCUACACCGAAAGAAAAUGAGUGGCGAACGGGUGAGUAACACGUGGGUAACCUGCCCAUCAGCGGGGGAUAACACUUGGAAACAGGUGCUAAUACCGCAUAAUUCCAUUUACCGCAUGGUAAAUGGAUGAAAGGCGCUUUUGCGUCACUGAUGGAUGGACCCGCGGUGCAUUAGCUAGUGGGUGGAGUAACGGCCUACCAAGGCUGCGAUGCAUAGCCGACCUGCGAGGGUGCGCAGCCGCCCUGGGACUGAGACACGGCACAUUGUCCUACGGGAAGCGGCCAGACGGCAACGUCGGCCAUGGGCGCAAGACUGAGCGAAAAGCGCCGCGGGAGGGAAGAGGGUUGUCGGGUCGGAAAACUCGGUUGUUGGAGAAGAAAAAGGAUGAGAGUGGAAAGUUCAUCCCGUGACGGUAUCUAACAAGAAAGCAACGGCUAACUACGUG
rnacentral:rRNA from 1 species